CCGCCCCGUCGGGAGGACUGGACGGAGGGAGGCAGGGCGGGGGCCGCCCACCCGGGAGACGGAAAAAAGUCUCGGGCGAAGGUGCCGGGAUCCGCGAGGAGAGGCGGUGAUAUCGGUGGCACGCCGGGCGCAGGCUCUUCACGUGGCUGUCGCUGCUGUGUCGCCCUUCGCACGCCCGCGGUACCGUCAGCGGGAGAUGCACUGUCGCUGGGACGCAACCGAAGCGGAACGACCGCGGGAAGGGCCGAGGCGGCUCAAGGGGACUCGGGACGCGUGCCCCACAGUGGCCCCGUUUAUGGUAUCUGAGCAAAAAAUCAACCAAUCCAAACAAAAACAAAUAAGGACGGGGACCACUCGGGAGAAAACGAUCCAGCGGGAACAGCCUGCGGCGGCCGGCUGCCGUACCCGUGCCCUCUCCUGGGGCUGCGGCUGCCGCAGAAGACCGCGCGACGCUCCCGGGACGGGGCGGGAGGCGGGCGCGCAGUGCCCGCUAAUGGCGCUGCCUUCAGUCGCCCGCGGUGCGGCACGGUGCUCGCUUUCGGGGCUCCGCACGGGCAUGUGCUGAUCAAGUCAGUGCCGCUACAGCUGUAUGAUGUGUGCUCAUUGUGGCCAUAGUUAAGGCUGCCUUACGAUUUUUCUCUCUCCCUCUCUCUUUUUUUUUUUUUUUUUCCCUGGGGCACAGUUCUGCCGUGCUUUUCUCUUACAGAGAAACCCGAGCUGUCCCGUGCUUACUUCCUGAGCUAGGCUGAUGUCAGGGCUGUGCAUCGUGGAAUCGGCUGCGAAAUCCUCCUGACAGCCCUGCUGGGGUCUCCUGGAAACCCCCAACGCUAAGAGGCCUCUGCUGCACCCAGUUUAGGCAGGUUCAUUUCGUUUUCUUUUUGUCCUUUCUUCUUUCUUGCUUUUCUUUUUAAUCUUUCUCUUUUUUCUCUCUUUUCUUUCAUUCUUUCCCCAUUUCCUUUCUUUUAUUCUUUUUCUCUUCUUUUUUCUUUCUUUUUUUCCUUCAUCUCUUUUUUCUCUUUUUUUUUUUUUUUUUUCUUCCUUCCUUUCCCCAACCCACCCGUUCCCCGGGGGCCAUUUUGGGCUCCCCCAUGCCGCACUGUCUGCCAGUCCGCCCCCGGAGCCGGCAGCAGGUGCGCGGUGGGAGCCAUGCAGGAGCUGCGGGCUGCAGCCGCUGUCCGCUUUUUCCGUCGUUGCCGGGCGGAGAGAGGUGCUGUGAGGCGCGUCCCUCCACUGCAGAAAAGCGGGGCUUCGCUGUAUGUCUGCUUGCAGAGGAAUUACUACUCCUGAGCAAGUAGGGCUCGGGUUAAUGUAUCCCUUCCCGUUCUCCAGCGCUUUUCCCCCCGAGGUAACAGCCAUAGGGCACUGCUAUGCUUGGAGCCGCGGAGCCUCCGGGCGGCCUAAGGGGGGAGCGGGGCGGAGACUGCGCACAGGUCCGGCGUCCAGCAUCUCUCCGAGCCGCUCCCCGCCGGGAGAACGGUGCUCCGCGAUGGCUGCUUUUUUUUUUUUUUUUUCAUUUUUUUUUUCCUUCCCUCUUUUUUUUUUUUUUUUUUUUUUUUUUUUUCCCCUCGUUUUUUAUCCCCCAUUUUGCCCUCUUCAGAAGUGCGGUGCAAAUGAAGGCUGGGCGCGGGGUGGCCGCCGCGGGACCACGGAUCCUGCUGGCUGGGAGCGCUUCUAGAGAUUUUGGGAUUGCUCCUUUCAGACAGUGGGGGACGUGUAAGGUGCAGUAGUUGGGCAUGGCGUCCCGACAGAGCAGCAGCUGUCACCCAGCAGCUCUAUCCCAUGGCACUCAAGAUUGUUCUGAGCUUCUUUAUGGCUCUUAAAACUUCAGUCAUGGAGUUGUGUCUUGUAUUUUACCAUCUGACUUCUAAACAAACGCAUCUCAUUUCCUACACACUGUGAGCAGCCCCAUAUGAGUAAGUGUUCUGCAGCUUUUAUUUUCUCUUACUGGGAAGCUUUCAGAACAGUAGAGGAGAGACAGCCGUGGCUGAGAACAAGGAAGCUGUAUUUUCUUCCUACUGAUGGACUCAUCGGUAACUGCUAGUAAAAGCAAGAAAAAAUACUGUUGUCUUUUUCUUUUUUUUUCCCCACCUGAUUUGAUUCCAACUAGAAGUUUGAGGUGAUUUCUAGUCAUUCACACCAAAGUGGUUUUGACAGAUUGAGGAAAGAGCAGAGAACCGAGGAAAUCAUGUGUUGCGAAUGUGAGGGAGAUAAAAGUAGAGGCAUGCAGCGUUGCCAGGACUGUAUGUGUGGGUGUGCAGCGUUCGUCCCAGUUCGCAGCAAGCAGCCUGGCAGCCUGGCAGGGCUCCUGCCAACAGGUCUCAAUGGGGCUGAGCCUUCAGUAGCUGCUGUGGGGCUGCAGCCAUGAGUGUGCAGUGAUAGAGCUGUGCUGCCUUGGCGGGCUGUACUCACACCCGCAGAUUGUUUCGUUUUACUUCAGUUCUGGGAAGUAUAAAAAUUGCACGGAGACUUGCUGUAAGAAAACAAAAUGUCAAGCUGAUGAUGAGUCAAAAAACAAACAAAAAAAAACAAAAAAACAAGGAAGGAAAAUAUAGUGAGUAUUUGUAAAUCCUUCGCAGUGACAUCUUUCAGUGGUUAUCACUGAGUAGCACCUCUGCAGAUGUGCUCUCCGUGAAGCCAGCUAUUGGGUUUUCAGGCUGCCGACUGAAAGCACAGCUCCACAUGCCCUGCAGUUUGCAUUCCCCACCUUUUGGUGCCUACAGAGAUCAAUGAAUGCACUCUCGCGGGUCAAGUGCUGCCUCCUGCCCCCCAGUCAGUGGAUGCUGCUUGUUUGUGCGGUACUCUCGUUAAAUGCAUGAAAUGCUUGAGCUGUCACUGCUUCCUAGGUGAUGGGGAAGGGCAGAAUGUCCUCUGGCUCAGGGCUGUGCAGGAUGGUAAGACAAGGAUGGUGGGAUGGCACCCCUGGACUGCAGGGGCACAAACCCUGCAGGCGUGAGCCUCAUCCUUCCCUCCUCACACCUUUGCAUGCUUCCUCUGUGAGCUUGGGCUCUCAGACCAAUUAAUUCUAUUAACAAAGGGUGUAAAUUAGAAGUGUCUGUGAACUGUAUUGAGCCUCAAUUUGCAUGGUCUUAUUCACAACAAAAGUGGCUGCAAUUUGAUUUAAAUUAAUUCACUUUCAGAAUAAAAUAACACUGAGUAGAAUAAAAGCAGCUUUAGUUUUGAAUGGUUGUCUGCGUAGAAUUGUUUGUGGUUUAACUAAUCCACUUCAAAAAUAACUCUUAUUAAUUUUCGUGGGCUUUUCCCUCUAGGUUAGCUUGCUUUGUCUCUUUCUUUCAGUCUCCUAUCAGUAAAAUGGAGAUAGUAGUAGCCUGCUAACAUUUUAAAAUUGCUGUGUUGAAUACUCCUGGUAACUGCAGCAUUUUGCCUUCCACUCGGUGCGUAGGUUUCUCAAAACCCGGGACUUGAUUUUCUACACAUGUGUAGAAUUGUUGCCUGGCAGUGUUCUACAGGCUCUGUACGCAGCUGUACACGGCCACACAAGACAGAUAGCAGUGGGGAAUGAAGGCUUUGCUGCGCGUUUUGAACUCUGACCAAACAACUCCUUGGCUUUGGUUCCGUGUUUUCUUCAAAGACUGUGGGCCAAGACUUAAGAACUGUCUAACUUUUGUCAUCUUAAUGAACGGUUUCAGUGGUGUUAAUGGGAACUAGGGCACUUUCUUUAUUAAUGGAAAUCAGGUCAUUUAAUUACCUAACAAAAAUGCACCUAACCUCGUCUCACUGCUUUCUGCACUUCAUGAAUUAUGAACUUUAAUCUGUUUUAGAGAAAGCUCUACUAAAACGGAUGAAGCUGCAGUGGGUAUAAAAUUAUCUUUUUAUAAUGGAAAUGCUUAUUGUAAAAAUCAACACACUAGCAUAACUUUCUUAUUGGAAGUCGCUGCUAUUUAAAUCUUCGCAGUGAUGUAGCAUGGUUUGACUAAGUCGUGGUAUGUAACUACUGAAAGGCCAGAUGAACACAUCAGCACAUCUUCUGUCAAAAAUGGGAACACUGAGAUAUUACUAUUUUUUUUUAAAUCAAAGCUUGGUGGGUUUUGGACUGGAGGGAUUCUUUUAUUCCUUCCCAUUCCUCCCCCCCAUCCUACUGUCUGCUUCAACGUUUUCCUUUCUUUCUUGAGUGGUUUCACUCCAAGCAGGACUUCUUUUGUGCCUUUCAGUUGCCAGAAGCUGGAGAAUUGUCAUUAUUUGAACUUUACUGUUGGUUGUUUUUUUUUAAAUAAAAACCAAGAUGCUUUCCAGAGAGUCAGGAAGAAACCAGCUCUCGGAAAGUGCUAAGGAAACAGUGGCUUUAGCUGAACUUUUCUAUAUGAGAGAAAAGCAUAAAUCAUCUUCAGGCUUCAAAUCUAGCUGUUAAUAAUAAAGCACAUCACCUAAUGCUCUAAAAAUACCCCUGUGUAUAGACUAUGCAUACAACAAAAAUAAGCAACCCCAGAUAUUCUGGCAAGAUCUGUGGUAUUUUAUUUCACUUCCUCAGUAACAGUAGUCAUUGUUGGCACCUGGAAGUGACUGUGAAAAUACAGAUCCCUGUAAAGCUGGGUAAAUAAAGGGACGUGCUCCACUUCUGCUUGUCAGUAGAAGAAACUGUGACGUCUGACAGUUAUUAAUGAAAAUAUUUUCUCAAUCUCUGCCAUAAAGAAUGCAGGGGCAAAAUAAAUCCUUGGUAAAAUCUGUUCCCAAAAUAAGCCAGCAUAGAUGCAGUUCAGAGCCAGAAACUUCCACCGCCAUAGAAUUUAGUUAAGGAUCUUAAGACAAAAAGGUAACCUGUUUUUCCAUGAACUCAAAGUUACAAAUGCUGCCAUGAAUAUGUGUCCAUAAAGAGAAUCACCAUCUUAAACAGCUGAAAGUUCCCUUUUGUCCUUCAGUCUUUUUCAGAGGGAAAGAAACUGCUGUUGUCUUGGUUGUCCUCAGCAUUGUGUAUUAGAACUGCCUGCUCUGAAGCAGGACUUUUCUCUGAUCCUAUAGUUAACAUUGCAUCUGAUCCUGCUGAGCUUAACUAGUCAAAUCUUGUGUUGACUGAAUAUGGCUUUUGCUUGAAUAAAGAAAUUGAAGAGCUCUCUGGAAAAGCUGGGCCUAGUUCCAAUUUUCUUCUCAAUUCUAAAAUAAAAGGAUGCUGUCAAGGUAUUUGUGAUUUAUGGGGGCAAAUGUGUUUCUCUCCUUCAAAAUCUUGUAUCGCUUUGGCAGCAGUUUAACAUCUUUUCUGAUUCAUUUUAUUCUAUGCACCUUUUCAGUUUAUUCAGGAUAAAAUAAUAAAAUAAAUGUGUGCUUUAUUUUAGAGGAAAAGAGAUAAGACUUUCUCUUUGGGAGGAAAGCGCGCUCUCACCGGGGUUCUGAGGACACGUCAUGCUAAUUGUUGGUGACUUUUAAAACUGCUCUUUGUGGUGCAAGAGACGAAAAAUUCUCUGUAGACUGAGGGCUUUCCAAAACGCUAAAUGCUUUCUUUUGCUUGGCAGCCAGCAGAUGCCAGGAAGUGUUGCUUAUUGACAUUAAUCAUUACCCUGUUGAUAGCCCUGGGCGUGCUGCUGUAAUUGACCAGAACCAAAUCCAGUAAUCAUAUCAUGGAAAAUAUACAUCACAUUUAUUUCACAUCUGAAUUGCAGUAAUAUGAAUUCAUGGCAAAAUUCUCAGUGACUACGUCAGAAGCAGAAGGAGAGCCUUUGUCUGCUAGCACAGAUGUAACUAAGCUGUUAAGCACAGUCUGAUGUGCUUAGGCAGGAGGCUGAGGCUACAUCAAGAAGUUAUAAAAUUAUCCUCCAGGAUCUUGUAGCCUAAAUCCUAUUCAGAUAAAUAUAGAGAAGUCUCUGUAGUUUGUAGUGUUUGUAGAACUGUGUUUUCCAAUUGUGUUUUCUGUUGUUUUCUUUGAGCAUUACCCUUCAAUAGAUGGGGCUGCUACAAUCUCUUCAAAGAAUAUAAAUACUCUAUUAAGAAUGUGUAAAAAGGCCUUCCAAUAAGACAGUUGAAGAAGCAUUUCUUUUUACAAAAUUAUCUACAGAAAAUGAUGAGAACAAACAAACAACAGCUGAACAGUAAAGCAUCAAGAAGAAACACAUCUGAGGUUUAAUUUGAUCACUUUAUGCCUGGGAAACAGAAUGAGGAGUUAGUUAUUGAGCAAUAUUUGUAUCACAUUGACUAUUGUGUUAAUGAAUUCAAUUUUUAUUAAAUAGCAUCAACAUGUUAGAUAUUACACUGGAAAGAAAUAAAGAUCAG